GAUGAACGCUGGCGGCGUGCUUAACACAUGCAAGUCGAACGGGAAAUAUUUCAUUGAGACUUCGGUGGAUUUGAUCUAUUUCUAGUGGCGGACGGGUGAGUAACGCGUGGGUAACCUGCCUUAUACGGGGGGAUAACAGUCAGAAAUGGCUGCUAAUACCGCAUAAGCGCACAGAGCUGCAUGGCUCAGUGUGAAAAACUCCGGUGGUAUAAGAUGGACCCGCGUUGGAUUAGCUAGUUGGUGGGGUAACGGCCCACCAAGGCGACGAUCCAUAGCCGGCCUGAGAGGGUGAACGGCCACAUUGGGACUGAGACACGGCCCAGACUCCUACGGGAGGCAGCAGUGGGGAAUAUUGCACAAUGGGGGAAACCCUGAUGCAGCGACGCCGCGUGAAGGAAGAAGUAUCUCGGUAUGUAAACUUCUAUCAGCAGGGAAGAUAGUGUCGGUAC
rnacentral:rRNA from 1 species